GACGAACGCUGGCGGCGUGCUUAACACAUGCAAGUCGAGCGGAAAGGCCCUUUCGGGGGUACUCGAGCGGCGAACGGGUGAGUAACACGUGAGUAAUCUGCCCUUCACUUUGGGAUAACCCCCGGAAACGGGAGCUAAUACCGGAUAUGACCGGCAACCGCAUGGUUUGUUGGGGGAAACUUUUUUGGGUGGGGUAUGUGCUCGCGGCCUAUCAGCUUGUUGGUGGGGUAAUGGCCUACCAAGGCUUUGACGGGUAGCCGGCCUGAGAGGGUGACCGGCCACACUGGGACUGAGACAUGGCCCAGACUCCUACGGGAGGCAGCAGUGGGGAAUAUUGGACAAUGGGCGGAAGCCUGAUCCAGCAACGCCGCGUGAGGGAUGACGGCCUUCGGGUUGUAAACCUCUUUCAGCACCGACGAAGCGUGAGUGACGGUAGGUGCAGAAGAAGGACCGGCCAACUACGUGCCAGCCGCCGCCGUAACAC
rnacentral:rRNA from 1 species